AGCGAACGCUGGCGGCAGGCCUAACACAUGCAAGUCGAACGAAGUCUUCGGACUUAGUGGCGGACGGGUGAGUAACACGUGGGAACGUGCCUUUAGGUUCGGCAUAACUCAGGGAAACUUGUGCUAAUACCGAAUGUGCCCUUCGGGGGAAAGAUUUAUCGCCUUUAGAGCGGCCCGCGUCUGAUUAGCUAGUUGGUGAGGUAAAGGCUCACCAAGGCGACGAUCAGUAGCUGGUCUGAGAGGAUGAUCAGCCACGUUGGGACUGAGACACGGCCCAAACUCCUACGGGAGGCAGCAGUGGGGAAUAUUGGACAAUGGGCGCAAGCCUGAUCCAGCCAUGCCGCGUGAGUGAUGAAGGUCUUAGGAUUGUAAAGCUCUUUCACCGGUGAAGAUAAUGACGGUAACCGGAAAAGAAGCCCCGGCUAACUUCGUGCCAGCAGCCGCCGUAAAAC
rnacentral:rRNA from 1 species